rnacentral:rRNA from 1 species
AGUGAACGCUGGCGGUAGGCCUAACACAUGCAAGUCGAACGGCAGCACAGUAAGAGCUUGCUCUUACGGGUGGCGAGUGGCGGACGGGUGAGGAAUACAUCGGAAUCUACUUUUUCGUGGGGGAUAACGUAGGGAAACUUACGCUAAUACCGCAUACGACCUACGGGUGAAAGCAGGGGAUCUUCGGACCUUGCGCGAUUGAAUGAGCCGAUGUCGGAUUAGCUAGUUGGCGGGGUAAAGGCCCACCAAGGCGACGAUCCGUAGCUGGUCUGAGAGGAUGAUCAACCACACUGGAACUGGGACACGGUCCAGACUCCUACGGGAGGCAGCCGUGGGGAAUAUUGGGCAAUGGGCGCAAGCCUGAUCCAACCCUACCGCGUGGGUGAAGGAGGCCUUCGGGUUGUAAAGCCCUUUUGUUGGGAAAGAAAAGCAGCAGGUUAAUACCCCGCUGUUCUGACGGUACCCAAAGAAUAAGCACCGGCUAACUUCGUG